rnacentral:rRNA from 1 species
GACAUUGUUCAACGGCCGCGGUAUCCUAACCGUGCGAAGGUAGCGUAAUCACUUGUUCUUUAAAUAAGGACUAGUAUGAAAGGCGCCACGAGAGUCAUACUGUCUCCUUUCUCUAAUCAGUGAAACUGAUCUCCCCGUGAAGAAGCGGGGAUAAAAAUAUAAGACGAGAAGACCCUAUGGAGCUUAAAACAAAUAACACUUGCCCCCCAACUUCUAAUUUCAGAAAAAUUUUCUACCCGAGCAUUAUGGUUAUUAGUUUUCGGUUGGGGUGACCGCGGAGUAAAAAGCAACCCCCGCAAUGAAAGACACUCAUCCACUUAGUUAAGGGCUACAACCCUACACAUCAACAAAUUGACACUAAUUGACCCAACAUGUUGAUCAAUGAACCAAGUUACCCUAGGGAUAACAGCGCAAUCCACUUCAAGAGCCCCUAUCGACAAGUGGGUUUACGAC